rnacentral:rRNA from 1 species
AGCAUAUAAUUAAGCGGAGGAAAAGAAACUAACAAGGAUUCCCCUAGUAACGGCGAGUGAACGGGGAAGAGCCCAGCGCCGAAGCCCUCGUCCCAUCGGGACGACGGGCAAUGUGGCGUUAAGGAGGAACCACUCCCGGCAGAUCGCGGAAGCCCAAGUCCCCCUGACCGGGGCCACAGCCCGUGGUGGGUGCAAGGCCCGUGCGGCUUUUCUCCGCGUCUGUCGGACGUUCUCUCCCCGGAGUCGGGUUGCUUGGGAGUGCAGCCCUAAGCGGGUGGUAAACUCCACCGAAGGCUAAAUACAUCCACGAGACCGAUAGC